AGAGUAAGAAUACAGCCAAGGAUGACUUGCCGGCAUCAAUUUAUAUAUAUAUAUAUAUAUAUAUAUAUUUAUCGGCAAGCUGUUCUUGGCUAUAUUCAUUUCUUU
rnacentral:pre_miRNA from 9 species